rnacentral:lncRNA from 1 species
UUUUUUAAAAACCCGAUGCAAGAAGACUUGUGUACUUCUUUUUUAAUAUAGUAGGGAUAUUCAUUUAUUGUAGCAUAUAUCUUUUUUUUUCUUGAUAGCUAGCUUGUUUGAUUCUUUUUUCUAAGAUUAUUUGUGAUUCUACUUCGAGUUCGGACAGGGAAUUAGAAGCCCACUCAAGUUUACCUCACUUCAGUUCGUGGAUUUCAGCUCCCACAUUUUGGCACCGUCUGUGGGGACCUUAUUCCCUAACCCACCGAUUCCUCGUUUCCG